GGUCCUGUGGCUCAGUGUGUUAGAGCAGUGUGUGGUGUCCCAGAGGUCGUGGUUCGAUCCCACGCUGUCA